CCCCAACCCCGGGCGAGCAGGAGGUGAGCUGCUAGCGAGCCGACGUUCCGGUUUCCAGCUCCCCCCUCGCCCCGAGCUCCUCCUGGGGUCAGCGCAGCGGCCAGGGAUCCCAGAGCGGCGCGGACCCCACUGUGGACUACACAUGCCAGGGACCUAGGGUGCCCGCUUUUGAAUCAUCCCCCAAGCAUCCUUCACCCUACAUUCCGUGGAGAAACUGUCUCAAAAAGAUCAGAUCGGGGGCCCCGGGCGUGGCGGCGCGCGCCUGCAGGAGGAUCACGGCGAGUUUAAAGCCAGCAGCCUGGGCUACACAGUGAGUUCAAGGGUCUUGAUACAUAGUCCACACUGGCCUCAAACUCACUAUGUAGUCCAGACUGGCCUGAAAUUCUGGAUCCUCCUGCUUCAGCCUCCUGAGUGCUGGGAUUACAGGGUCGCACUAAGCAGUUCAGGCUAGCCUUGAACUCACUACGUAAUGAACUUGUGAAGAUUCUCCUGCCUCAGCCUCCCGAGUGUUGGGAUUUCAGAGAUGUACCACCCCGCGUGGCUUCUGGGAGCAUACAGAAAAGAGCAAAGAAUUCUGAGGGCCACCGCAUAGACCAUG
ensembl:lncRNA